rnacentral:SRP_RNA from 1 species
CCGCACUAGUCGGGGAGAUAGCGGUGCCCUGUACCCGCAAUCCGCUGCAGCGGGGAUGAAUUCCGGCCCCCGGACGUGUGAUGUGCCGUCUGCCCUGGAUAAGCAGUGAUGAUAGACCGGUCCCGCGCAACGGGGCUGCCGUGAACCGUGUCAGGCGGGGAACCGAGCAGCACUAAGCGGAUGGCCCCGUGUGCCGCGG